ACUCCUACGGGAGGCAGCAGUGGGGAAUCUUGCGCAAUGGGAGCAAUCCUGACGCAGCGACGCCGCGUGCGGGAUGACGCCUUUCGGGGUGUAAACCGCUGUCACCGGGGACGAAUCCUACUGGGAGGCAAUGCCCAUGUAGUUGACGGUACCCGGAGAGGAAGCACCGGCUAACUCCGUGCCAGCAGCCGCGGUAAUACGGAGGGUGCGAGCGUUGUUCGGAAUUAUUGGGCGUAAAGCGCGCGUAGGCGGUUCUUUAAGUCUGUCUGUGAAAGGCCGGGGCUCAACCCCGUGCAGUGCAGGGGAUACUGGAGGACUUGAGAGAUGCAGAGGCCAGCGGAAUUCCGGGUGUAGCGGUGGAAUGCGUAGAGAUCCGGAAGAACACCGGCGGCGAAGGCGGCUGGCUGGGCAUCAUCUGACGCUGAGGUGCGAAA
rnacentral:rRNA from 1 species